rnacentral:miRNA from 1 species
UAGUUGGAUGUGGUGGCCCAU